UACGGAGGGUGCGAGCGUUAUUCGGAUUUAUUGGGCGUAAAGGACGCGUAGGCGGCUUUUUAAGUCAGGUGUGAAAGCCCGGGGCUUAACCCCGGAAGUGCAUUUGAAACUGAGAGGCUUGAGUAUGGGAGAGGGAAGUGGAAUUCCUGGUGUAGAGGUGAAAUUCGUAGAUAUCAGGAGGAACACGGGGGGCGAAGGCGACUUCCUGGACCAAUACUGACGCUGAGGCGCGAAGGCGUGGGGAGCAAACAGG
rnacentral:rRNA from 1 species